UACGAAGGGGGCUAGCGUUGCUCGGAAUUACUGGGCGUAAAGGGCGCGUAGGCGGCGCAUUUAGUCAGGCGUGAAAGUCCUGGGCUCAACCUGGGAACUGCGCUUGAUACGGGUGUGCUAGAGGAUGGAAGAGGCUCGUGGAAUUCCCAGUGUAGAGGUGAAAUUCGUAGAUAUUGGGAAGAACACCGGUGGCGAAGGCGGCGAGCUGGUCCAUUACUGACGCUGAGGCGCGACAGCGUGGGGAGCAAACAGG
rnacentral:rRNA from 1 species